rnacentral:rRNA from 1 species
UGGCUCAGAGUGAACGCUGGCGGCAGGCCUAACACAUGCAAGUCGAACGGCAGCACAACAGAGCUUGCUCUGUGGGUGGCGAGUGGCGGACGGGUGAGGAAUACGUCGGAAUCUGCCUUUUUGUGGGGGAUAACGUAGGGAAACUUACGCUAAUACCGCAUACGACCUACGGGUGAAAGCGGAGGACCUUCGGGCUUCGCGCAGAAAGAUGAGCCGACGUCGGAUUAGCUAGUUGGAGGGGUAAUGGCCCACCAAGGCGACGAUCCGUAGCUGGUCUGAGAGGAUGAUCAGCCACACUGGGACUGAGACACGGCCCAGACUCCUACGGGAGGCAGCAGUGGGGAAUAUUGGACAAUGGGCGCAAGCCUGAUCCAGCCAUGCCGCGUGUGUGAAGAAGGCCUUCGGGUUGUAAAGCACUUUUGUACGGGAAGAAAAGCAAUCGGUUAAUACCCGGUUGUCAUGACGGUACCGUAAGAAUAAGCACCGGCUAACUUCGUGCCAGCA